AUUGAACGCUGGCGGCGUGCUUAACACAUGCAAGUCGAUCGGGUAACAGGUGUAGCAAUACAUGCUGACGAGAGGCGGACGGGUGAGUAAUGCUUGGGAAUCUGCCUAUUAGUGGGGGACAACCCCGGGGAAACUCGGGCUAAUACCGCAUACGCUCUACGGAGGAAAGCCGGGGACCGCAAGGCCUGGCGCUAAUAGAUGAGCCCAAGUCGGAUUAGCUAGUUGGUAGGGUAACGGCCUACCAAGGCGACAAUCCGUAGCUGGUCUGAGAGGACGACCAGCCACACCGGAACUGAGACACGGUCCGGACUCCUACGGGAGGCAGCAGUGGGGAAUAUUGGACAAUGGGGGCAACCCUGAUCCAGCGACGCCGCGUGGGUGAAGAAGGCCUGCGGGUUGUAAAGCCCUUUCGGUGGGGAAGAAAAGUCUCGACCUAUACGUCGGGACCUUGACGUAACCCACUAAAGAAGCACCGGCUAACUCUGUGCCAGCCGCCGCCGUAAG
rnacentral:rRNA from 1 species